rnacentral:lncRNA from 1 species
GAGAGGGUUUGUUGGAAAGCCAUUUCAGAGAGGAUGAAGGGUUAAGUAAGGCUAAAAGUUGGGUGAGACUGCUUCACUUUGAAGUUCAGCAUUUAUAGAAUUUUCUUAAUGGCUGGGAAGGCAUUGUUCCAUUCCUCGUGUCGGCAAGCCUGGGAUAAUUUAACAGUAGUUUUCACGUGCAUUCCGCUUCUCCAAAAAUUUUCGACAGAUUGCGCGUGAUUUACGCAACGCAGAUGUGCAAAUUGACAGAUGCUGACACGUCUCGAUAAAGCAGAGGCCUCUUUAAUAUCUGGAAUUUACGCUUCGAGUUCUGAGCUUCAUUGAGGGCAGAGAUUGCAUGUGACAAGUGCUGACGAGGCUGAGAGAGACAGAUGGUUGGAAUCGGUGCUUCGACAGACUGCCCGUCAUUUUCGCAAAGCUGAGUUGCGUGUGAUGGGUGCUGACGAGGCUGAGAUAGUUGACACUCUUCGAUAUCUGGAAUUGGUGGUUUGUGAGCAAGCCCAACUUUUGAGAAAGCUGGCGCCUCUUCGAUUUCUGAGCUCACCUCUUCGAUCUCUGAAAUCCCAUCGUGUGCUGAUUUUUAUAGAGGUAUGCAGGACGUUCAAAGCACUCUUGAAUUUCUGCCUGUAAAAACUCCCGUU